AACACAAACCCCGACGCUGAAUGCGUCAAGGAAUUUAAAAUUUGCUCUGAGCGCACCGACAUAACACCGGAGACGGUUUUUAUGCCGGUUGUGUUCUGACACGUAAUAUAGAAUGACUCUCGGCAACGGAUAUCUAGGCUCUUGCAUCGAUGAAGAACGUAGCGAAAUGCGAUACUUGGUGUGAAUUGCAGAAUCCCGUGAACCAUCGAGUCUUUGAACGCAAGUUGCGCCCGAUGCCAUUAGGUUGAGGGCACGUCUGCCUGGGCGUCACAUAUCGAAGCCUCUUUGCCAAUUUCCUAUUGAUAGGUAUUGUGCAGGGUGAAUGUUGGCCUCCCGUGAGCUCCCUCGUCUCAUGGUUGGUUGAAAAUUGAGAUCUUGGUAGGGUGUGCCAUGAUAGAUGGUGGCUGUGUUACGCACGAGACCAAGUCAUGUGUUGCUCUAUCGAAUUUAGCCUCUUUUACCCACACGCGUUUCUAAACGCUCGUGAUGAGACCUCAGGUCAGGCGGGGCUACCCGCUGAAUUUAAGCAUAUCAAUAAGCGGAGGAAAAGAAACUAACAAGGAUUCC
rnacentral:rRNA from 1 species